GUCCGGAAUCCCGAAGAGAUUUGGGAGUGCUCGCAAGAGAACCGGAACACAGGUGCUGCAUGGCUGUCGUCAGCUCGUGUCGUGAGAUGUUGGGUUAAGUCCCGCAACGAGCGCAACCCUUGUCAUUAGUUGCCAUCAUUUGGUUGGGCACUCUAAUGAGACUGCCGGUGACAAACCCGGAGGAAAGGUGGGGAUGACGUCAAGUCCUCAUGGCCCUUAUGGGUAGGGCUUCACACGUCAUACAAUGGUCGGUACAGAGGGUUGCCAACCCGCGAGGGGGAGCUAAUCCCACAAAGCCGAUCGUAGUCCGGAUCGCAGUCUGCAACUCGACUGCGUGAAGUCGGAAUCGCUAGUAAUCGCGGAUCAGCAUGUCGCGGUGAAUACGUUCCCGGGUCUU
rnacentral:rRNA from 1 species